rnacentral:rRNA from 1 species
AGUGAACGCUGGCGGUAGGCCUAACACAUGCAAGUCGAACGGCAGCACAGUAAGAGCUUGCUCUUACGGGAGGCGAGUGGCGGACGGUUGAGGAAUACAUCGGAAUCUACUUUUUCGUGGGGGAUAACGUAGGGAAACUUACGCUAAUACCGCAUACUACCUACGGGUGAAAGCAGGGGAUCUUCGGACCUUGCGCGAUUGAAUGAGCCGAUGUCGGUUUAGCUAGUUGGCGGGGUAAAGGCCCACCAAGGCGACGAUCUGUAGCUGGUCUGAGAGGAUGAUCAGCCACACUGGAACUGAGACACGGUCCAGACUCCUACGGGAGGCAGCAGUGGGGAAUAUUGGACAAUGGGCGCAAGCCUGAUACAGCCAUACCGCGUGGGUGAAGAAGGCCUUCGGGUUGUAAAGCCCUUUUGUUGGGAAAGAAAAGCAGCAGGUUAAUACCCCGCUGUUCUGACGGUACCCAAAGAAUAAGCACCGGCUAACUUCGUG